UACGUAGGGUGCGAGCGUUGUCCGGAAUUAUUGGGCGUAAAGAGCUCGUAGGCGGUUUGUUGCGUCUAUCGUGAAAACCUGCAGCUUAACUGUGGGCUUGCGGUGGAUACGGGCAGACUUGAGUUCGGUAGGGGAGACUGGAAUUCCUGGUGUAGCGGUGAAAUGCGCAGAUAUCAGGAGGAACACCGGUGGCGAAGGCGACUACCUGGCCUGUUCUUGACGCUGAGGCGCGAAAGCUAGGGGAGCAAACGGG
rnacentral:rRNA from 1 species